rnacentral:rRNA from 1 species
UACAGAGGUCUCAAGCGUUGUUCGGAUUCAUUGGGCGUAAAGGGUGCGUAGGUGGCGCGGUAAGUCGGGUGUGAAAUCUCGGAGCUUAACUCCGAAACUGCAUUCGAUACUGCGGCGCUUGAGGACUGGAGAGGAGACUGGAAUUCAUGGUGUAGCAGUGAAAUGCGUAGAGAUCAUGAGGAAGACCAGUGGCGAAGGCGGGUCUCUGGACAGUUCCUGACACUGAGACACGAAGGCCAGGGGAGCAAACGGG